rnacentral:rRNA from 1 species
CGUAGGGUGCAAGCGUUGUCCGGAAUUAUUGGGCGUAAAGAGCUCGUAGGCGGUUAGUCGCGUCUGCUGUGAAAACUCGGGGCUUAACUCCGGGCCUGCAGUGGGUACGGGCUGACUAGAGUGCGGUAGGGGAGACUGGAAUUCCUGGUGUAGCGGUGAAAUGCGCAGAUAUCAGGAGGAACACCGGUGGCGAAGGCGGGUCUCUGGGCCGUAACUGACGCUGAGGAGCGAAAGCGUGGGGAGCGAACAGGAUUAGAUACCCUGGUAGUCCACGCCGUAAACGUUGGGCGCUAGGUGUGGGGCUCUUUCCACGAGUUCCGUGCCGCAGCUAACGCAUUAAGCGCCCCGCCUGGGGAGUACGGCCGCAAGGCUA